GAUGAACGCUGGCGGCGUGCCUAAUACAUGCAAGUCGAGCGAACAGACGAGGAGCUUGCUCCUCUGACGUUAGCGGCGGGCGGGUGAGUAACACGUGGAUAACCUACCUAUAAGACUGGGAUAACUUCGGGAAACCGGAGCUAAUACCGGAUAAUAUAUUGAACCGCAUGGUUCAAUAGUGAAAGACGGUUUUGCUGUCACUUAUAGAUGGAUCCGCGCCGCACUAGCUAGUUGGUAAGGUAACGGCUUACCAAGGCAACGAUGCGUAGCCGACCUGAGAGGGUGAUCGGCCACACUGGAACUGAGACACGGUCCAGACUCCUACGGGAGGCAGCAGUAAGGAAUCUUCCGCAAUGGGCGAAAGCUUGACGGAGCAACGCCGCGUGAGUGAUGAAGGUCUUCGGAUCGUAAAACUCUGUUAUUAGGGAAGAACAAAUGUGUAAGUAACUAUGCACGUCUUGACGGUACCUAAUCAGAAAGCCACGGCUAACUACGUG
rnacentral:rRNA from 1 species